AUUGAACGCUGGCGGCAUGCUUUACACAUGCAAGUCGAACGGUAACAGGCCUUCGGGUGCUGACGAGUGGCGAACGGGUGAGUAAUGCAUCGGAACGUGCCCAAUCGUGGGGAUAACGUAGCGAAAGUUACGCUAAUACCGCAUAAGCCCUGAGGGGGAAAUGGGGGACCGCAAGGCCUCACGCGAAUGGAGCGGCCGAUGUCAGAUUAGCUAGUUGGUGAGGUAAUGGCUCACCAAGGCAACGAUCCCUAGCUGGUCUGAGAGGAUGAUCAGCCACACUGGAACUGAGACACGGUCCAGACUCCUACGGGAGGCAGCAGUGGGGAAUAUUGGACAAUGGGCGAAAGCCUGAUCCAGCCAUGCCGCGUGUGUGAAGAAGGCCUUAGGGUUGUAAAGCUCUUUUACCAGGGAUGAUAAUGACAGUACCUGGAGAAUAAGCUCCGGCUAACUCCGUG
rnacentral:rRNA from 1 species